AUUGAACGCUGGCGGCAGGCCUAACACAUGCAAGUCGAACGAGUGGCGGACGGGUGAGUAAUGUCUGGGAAACUGCCCGAUGGAGGGGGAUAACUACUGGAAACGGUAGCUAAUACCGCAUACCAUCGGAUGUGCCCAGAUGGGAUUAGGUAGUAGGUGGGGUAACGGCUCUCCUAGGCGACGAUCCCUAGCUGGUCUGAGAGGGUGACCGGCGAGACUGCAACUGAGACACGGUCCAGACUCCGACGCGAGGCAGCAGUGGGGAAUAUUGCGCAAUGGGGGCAAGCCUGAUGCAGCCAUGCCGCGUGUAUGAAGAAGGCCUUCGGGUUGUAAAGUACUUUCAGCGAGGAGGCGUUACUCGCAGAAGAAGCACCGGCUAACUCCGUGCCAGCCGCCGCGGUAAUUC
rnacentral:rRNA from 1 species